AAGUCGUAACAAGGUUUCCGUAGGUGAACCUGCGGAAGGAUCAUUAACACGACACGUAAGUGUUUAACCCAGAGGAAAGUAGACGAGAGUUCGACUAUCCCAAGGUGUUGAGUGCGCUUUCGAUUUGCAAAAAUGAACGUAAUCAGGGGGUUGUGAAAGUGUUCAACCUGAUUAUUUUUAUCUUUGGAAGUAGAAAGUGUACGAGAUGCUGUAAGGUAGACUGCUUUAACGAGCGGGUACCAGUAGGCCGACACGGCCGGUAUCGGAUCCUGGGCGUCGUUCCUAUAGGAACGAGUACACGUCCCUCUUGACCCCUUGAAACGACAGGGUGUCGCGAAAACGUGGUAAGGCAUGAUUUUACUUGUACCGAAAGGUCCAAGUACUAACUGAACAACUGUUAACAAUGGAUAUCUUGGUUCUC
rnacentral:misc_RNA from 1 species